ACGAUAAGUCUUCGUUACGCAAGACCGCCGCCAUUUUUUUUCGAGCACUGAUUGAAAGCGUAUGGUUAGAUAAUCCGUACGGCGUAUUUUCCUUCCUGGCAUUUUUCUUCAUAAAAAUGCUGAUCAUGUGGCCUGAGCAUCUGUACAUUUUGCCAAGAUGUCGUCUCUUUUUCCUGUACUGGCUGUACGUUUUGUAAGAAAAACUUCAGAACAAAUCAGUCUGGCAAAGUCUGAGCUUCGUUGUUGCUGCCCAAUGUACACAUGGAUUUGAUGC